AAUAGCAUGAUUGCUUUUGUAGUUUACCUGAUUAAAAUCCCUUAGAUAAACCAUAUUAAAUGAUUUCUGCUGCACCUUUGUCUGUUUUUUAUUCUUUCCAAUUUUGUUUUUAUUCGAACCUAUUUAUUUAUAGAUCUAUCAUUACAUGUAAUGAUUUCAUCAAUAUAUAUAUAUAAACUUUUUUUUCUCUCUCUCAUCCUCUCUUUCGUUCAGUCGUUCUCUCCAUUUGUCGAUUUUCAGAUUUUGAAUCUCCACAGCUUGUCGCGAUUGGACACUUGCUGAGACUAAGGGAUUGUCAUUACUCGAAAUUAAGUUUUGAUGGGCACUGUUUGGAUUCUAGUAAAAAGAUACUGCGAUAAAUUUUGGAUUGGUUUGAAUUAGGAGUUCUGUAAUUCGCUUUUAGGCCGUUGGAUUUUGGGUGGAAUUCUUGAUCGAUAUCAAGGAAUUGAAAUUCAGCUUUGUUUUUUGUUGGUUUAAUUCUUUUUCGUGGUCAUGGUGGAUUUACAGUGAACCUGGAUUUCGUACUAUUUUAUUAUCUGUUGCUUGUGAUGGCUGAUGAAAGAUCGGAGCAGAUAGGAGCAUAGAAGAGGCUUGUUCGACUUACCCGUGUAUUCACGGUAUAUAGAAGCUUAUGAGUGAUGAUAGGAUAUGGCGCACAGUUCCUUGAGACAUAAGUUAAAGGGAUUGGUUAUCUAGUUGAUUCCCAAACUUCGAUUGUUUAAAGCUUUGGACAUGAGAAGCCCCUGGCUCAAUAAACUAUCUGUCAUUCUUGGCCCUAGACCGCCAGUCAGUUGGUUGUUCUUGUGCGUUGUCAGUUUGCUUGCGCUGAUUACAGUCUUUGGAUCGUCGUCUUCUAGUUCUUUUGACUCUGUAACCUCCACUUGGGUACCUGAGAAUUAUAAAAAUUAUAGAAGGCUAAAGGAGCAAGCUGCAAUUGAUUAUUUUGAGCUUAGAACUCUCUCAUCAGGUGCUAGUCGCCAAAGGGAGCUUGGCUUUUGUGGCAAAGAAAGAGAGAACUAUGUUCCUUGUUACAACGUGACAGCAAAUCUUUUAUCUGGGUUUAAAGAUGGAGAGGAAUUUGAUCGACAUUGUGAAGUAGUAGGGCAAGGAAAGUGGUGUCUAAUUCGCCCUCCUAAGGAUUAUAAGACUCCACUUCAAUGGCCUGCUGGUAGGGAUGUGAUCUGGAGUGGAAAUGUCAAGAUAACUAAAGACCAAUUCCUUUCUUCUGGAAGCAUGACAAAGAGAAUGAUGUUGCUAGAAGAGAAUCAAAUUGCUUUUCAAUCUGAUGCUGGCUUAACCUUUGACGGUGUCAAAGAUUAUUCUCGCCAGAUCGCAGAGAUGAUGGGACUAGGAAGUGACUCUGAAUUUUUACAAGCUGGGGUACGCACUGUGCUUGAUAUUGGCUGUGGAUUUGGAAGUUUUGGAGCUCAUUUAGUUUCAAUAAAGUUGAUGGCUCUUUGUAUUGCUGGAUAUGAGGCAACUGGAAGCCAAGUUCAGUUAGCUCUUGAGAGGGGUCUUCCAGCAAUGAUUGGCAAUUUCAUAACAAGACAACUGCCAUAUCCAUCAUUUUCAUUUGACAUGGUUCAUUGUGCUCAAUGUGGUAUUCCUUGGGACAAGAAAGAGGGGAUGCUUCUCAUAGAAGUAGAUCGGUUACUCAAACCUGGAGGGUAUUUUGUUUUAACCUCACCCAAAAGUAAGUCACAUGGAAGUGCAACAGGUACAAAGAUAAGAAACAUGCUAACACCACUGGAACAAUUCCCUGAAAAAAUUUGUUGGAGUCUUAUUGCUCAGCAGGAUGAGACGUUCAUCUGGCAGAAAACUGCUGAUUCUCAGUGCUAUUCUUCUCGCAAGCAGAAUGAUGUACCCCUUUGCAAAGGACAUGAUGCUUCCUAUUAUCAGGCCUUGAGCCCAUGCAUUAUUGGACCUUCCAGCAAACGCUGGAUUCCUAGUCAGAACAGGUCCUCUAGCUCAGAAUUGAGCUCUGCGGAGCUUGCACUUCAUGGAGUCAGUCCAGAAGAUUUCUUUGAAGACUUGCAAGGUUGGAAAUUAGCUUUAAAAAACUAUUGGUCUUUGCUUACUCCAUUAAUUUUCUCUGAUCAUCCCAAGAGGCCAGGUGCUGAAGAUCCAUUGCCUCCAUUUAAUAUGGUACGCAAUGUGAUGGACAUGAAUGCUCAUUAUGGGGGUUUAAAUGCUGCAUUCCUGGAGGAAAAGAAAUCAGUGUGGGUGAUGAAUGUGGUGCCUGUUACGUCACGUAAUAUGCUACCUCUUAUUCUUGACCGAGGUUUUCCCGGUGUUUUGCAUGACUGGUGUGAACCCUUCCCAACAUAUCCUCGAACAUAUGACAUGCUUCAUGCAAAUGGGCUCCUCUCGCACCUCUCUUCAGAGAGGUGCAGUUUGAUGGACUUGUUUGUAGAGAUGGACCGAAUCCUGCGUCCUGAGGGUUGGGUUGUGCUUUAUGAUAAAUUAGGAGCUAUAGAGUUGGCACGUGCGCAUGCUACACAGAUACGAUGGGGUGCAAGAGUGAUCGACAUUCAGAAUGGUAGUGAUCAGAGGCUACUGAUUUGUCAGAAACCAUUUUUGACAAAAUGAUUGAUCAAAGAAGGAUCAGGUCUCAAGACCACAGAUUUGUACACUGUUUUUUAUCUGCAUCAGACUGUGAGAUAUGAUGUGGAGUCGAGACAGGUUUGACAUUUAGUGACUGAACAAGGAACAAAGGUUGAAGGCUGUAGAUUAGAAAAGGAGGUAGCUGCAAAAUGUAGCUGCUCUACCUUUUACCUUUUUCUUUUUUUAAAAAUUUUGGUCAAGGCUUUGUAGCAAUUCAUUCAUCCAUGUCAUUUCUUUACCUACUUUAUAGUGAACUCCUUGUAUCGAACCAUCAUUGCGGUGCAAUUGCCACGAAAUGUGAUUAGUACAAAA